AGACAACACAGACGUGCUUAGAGACCGCCACACAGUCGGCCAUUUCCCCCCACAUUAAUGCCGUCUUUUUAGUAUCGGCGUAAGUUUCAGCUCCAGGAAAAGGGUGUUUCAACCCUUUGGGCCUUCAUUCUCACCCCCCCCCCCCGACCAGCCAAGAUGCGAACGUUAACUUGUCUAUAACCAGGACUUCCUCUUCUGCUAACUGCCCGAACAGCCUCUGGACUUUGUAAGGUAAACACUGAACUCGCCCUAUCUUCGAUAUGUCGUACAGACCUGCCUGUCAAAAAGUAAUCAAGCCUGAUGCGCCAGAGAUCAGGGAUAUGACUGUAGAGGAAUACGUUCGCCCACCCUGUACGCCCCUGUAUCCGCCCUGUAACCGCAAGGUUCGUUCACCAGAACCGGAGCCAGAAAUGCCUAUCUGCCCCUGCCCACCGCCAAGUCUGCCGCCCUGCCGUAAUCGCCCUAACGACGAGGAGUGCUGCAAGAUUUCUGGAUCUGCCCCCAGAAAAUUCCCCAAACCAUAGUGAGAUUGUCAACGUGAUGUCAGGCUUCAGAAGAUUGGUUUCUGCCCAUAUUCUCAAUGAGACGGAUCCCUUGAAAACAGCUCCCAGCUUGCCCUGCUAUGUAGCCUACUUGGACAUUUUAAAGUCAACAUGUGCACACAGUUCGGUCCACUGAAAUACAGCUCCGUGAAAAUAAAAUGGCUUUAAACUAUGCAA